UGCCCGUGCCUGUGGCAGACACGUGGCUAAGCCGGGCUGAACGUCUUCUGUAGGAUUUUCACCCAUUUCCCAGCUCUCUGCUGUGGCCUGGGAAAGCAGUGGAAGAUGGCCUGAGUCCUUGGGCCCUGCACCUGCGUGGGAGACCUGGAAGAAGCCCCUGGCUCCUGGCUUCGGAUCAGCCCAGCUCUGGCUGUUGCGGUCAUUUGGGGAGUGAACCUGCUGAAUGAAGACCUCCCUCUCUCUCUCUGGCUCCACCUCUCUCUGUAACUCUGUCUUUCAAAUAAGUAAUUCUUAAAAAAUAAAAAAAAAGACAGUCAAGAGC